rnacentral:rRNA from 1 species
UACGUAGGUGGCAAGCGUUGUCCGGAUUUACUGGGCGUAAAGGGCGUGCAGGCGGUCUGUUAAGUGCAGGGUGAAAGCUCCCGGCUCAACUGGGAGAGGUCCUUGCAUACUGGCGGACUUGAGGGGGGUAGAGGAAAGUGGAAUUCCGGGUGUAGUGGUGAAAUGCGUAGAGAUCCGGAGGAACACCAGUGGCGAAGGCGACACGCUGGGCCGUACCUGACACUGAUGCGCGACAGCAUGGGGAGCAAACAGG